UUCGAGGCCAGCCUGGACUACACUUUUU
rnacentral:piRNA from 1 species